rnacentral:lncRNA from 1 species
AGAGACAGAUUUUGUUGUUGAUACAGUAAAUAAAAGAGAAUAACAUACGGUGGUGACGGAAGAUGGUGCCGUUUGCAUAGAUGGAGGUGAUCGCCACUACACAGGUCUUUUCGGCAAGGAUCAACACAAAUUGGAAUGUGAAUGUGAAUCAGCAAGGGAUUGUAAUCAGAGAAAACGCGGUGGAGAGAAUCUGGAGUGAAACUAUUCAAAGGAGUGUGAAUCUGGAAGAGACACGACAUAUUUUUGCAAUAUAGUAAUUUUUAAUUUUAUUUUUUUCUAGCAGGUUUCUCCGGUUUCAAGCAGGGGUAAUACAUCAAUAUUAUAUAAAAGACAUGUGAAACAGUGAAAAGUUAGGGUAAUUGUCUACUCAAUCAAUUAUGCUUUUUUGUAGCGUCAUCUCACCUAAUUUCCCAUUUUUUUAUGUUUUCGAGUUAUACUUUUUCAAACUAAAACUUUUUUAUAAAUUUUAUUUUUUUAUCAAAAUUUCUUUUUUAUUCUUUUUAUUUUUUUUAAGUAUUUAUUUAUAUAUUUAUUAGAAUCCUAAAUUUCAUAUUCUAAAAACCCUACCCCACCCUUCAACUCUAAACCCUAAGUCUAGAUUAGUUAACCCUAGGGGUAUAAGUGUAUUUUAACCUUCAUAACAAGUGAGAGUAAAAAUGAUUAGUAUAGACAUGAAAAGUGGUACUACGAACGUGAUAUUUGUGACAAAUUUCACAAAUUUAUACUAUAGGGACAAACUAAAAUUGUUUUAUAUUAUAGGGAUAAAGAGUGUGUUUUUCCAUUCUAUUUUUGUAAAAUUCCCAAAAUACUAUGCUCAUGUACACUUAUUAUAUUAGGCCCCCUAUUAUAUUGUAAUUAAAGACGGCUUGGACAUAUUCCCUCACUUUAAAAUAAAUGUAUGCUUUGAUAUUGCUACACAUAAAAAAAUAUAAGGAAAUUGCCACAAAUAUCACAUUUUUAGUACUAUUUUCAUGUAUACACUAAGCUAGGAUUUAGAGUUGAGAAGUG